rnacentral:rRNA from 1 species
UCAGCAGCCGCGGUAACACCGGCGGCCCGAGUGGUGAUCGUGAUUAUUGGGUCUAAAGGGUCCGUAGCCGGUUUGGUCAGUCCUCCGGGAAAUCUGAUAGCUCGAACUAUUAGGGCUUUCGGGGGAUACUGCCAGACUUGGAACCGGGAGAGGUAAGAGGUACUACAGGGGUAGGAGUGAAAUCUUGUAAUCCCUGUGGGACCACCUGUGGCGAAGGCGUCUUACCAGAACGGGUUCGACGGUGAGGGACGAAAGCUGGGGGGCACGAACCGGAUUAGAUACCCGGGUAGUCCCAGCCGUAAACGAUGCUCGCUAGGUGUCAGGCAUGGCGCGACCGUGUCUGGUGCCGCAGGGAAGCCGUGAAGCGAGCCACCUGGGAAGUACGGCCGCAAGGCUGAAACUUAAAGGAAUUGGCGGGGGAGCACAACAACGGGUGGAGCCCUGCGGUUUAAUUGGACUCAACGCCGGACAACUCACCGGGGGCGACAGCAAUAUGUAGGCCAAGCUGAAGACUUUGCCUGAAUCGCUGAGAAGAGGUGCAUGG